rnacentral:snRNA from 1 species
AGUGUUGGAUUGUUCACCCACCA